CGUAGGGUGCGAGCGUUAAUCGGAAUUACUGGGCGUAAAGCGUGCGCAGGCGGUUUUGUAAGACAGAUGUCGAAAUCCCCGGGCUCAACCUGGGACCUGCAUUUGUGACUGCAAGGCUAGAGUACGGUAGAGGGGGAUGGAAUUCCGCGUGUAGCAGUGAAAUGCGUAGAUAUGCGGAGGAACACCGAUGGCGAAGGCAAUCCCCUGGACCUGUACUGACGCUCAUGCACGAAAGCGUGGGGAGCAAACAGGAUUAGAUACCCUGGUAGUCCACGCCCUAAACGAUGUCAACUGGUUGUUGGGUCUUUACUGACUCAGUAACGAAGCUAACGCGUGAAGUUGACCGCCUGGGGAGUACGGCCGCAAGGUUG
rnacentral:rRNA from 1 species